rnacentral:rRNA from 1 species
UACGGAGGGUGCAAGCGUUAAUCGGAAUUAUUGGGCGUAAAGGGUAUGUAGGCGGUAUAGAAAGUCAUGUGUGAAAGGCCUGGGCUUAACCUAGGUUGGUCACGUGAAACUUCUACACUUGAGUCUGACAGAGGCGAGUGGAAUUUCCUGUGUAGCGGUGAAAUGCGCAGAUAUAGGAAAGAACACCAGUGGCGAAGGCGACUCGCUGGGUCAAGACUGACGCUGAGGUACGAAAGCGUGGGUAGCGAACAGG